CCACCGAGGCUGCUCAGUACGGCGAGUGGGCGGCAAGAGCUCAAAUUUGAAAGCUGGCUCCUUCGGGGUCCGCAUUGUAAUUUGCAGAGGAUGCUUCGGGUGCGGCCCCUGUCUAAGUGCCCUGGAACGGGCCGUCAGAGAGGGUGAGAAUCCCGUCUGGGAUGGGGUGUCCGCGCCCGUGUGAAGCUCCUUCGACGAGUCGAGUUGUUUGGGAAUAA
rnacentral:rRNA from 1 species